UACGGACGUGGCUAGCGUUGUUCGGAAUUACUGGGCGUAAAGAGCGCGUAGGCGGCUUACCAAGUUGGGGGUGAAAUCCCGGAGCUCAACUCCGGAACUGCCUUCAAAACUGGUAGGCUCGAGUCCGGAAGAGGGGCGUGGAAUUCCCAGUGUAGAGGUGAAAUUCGUAGAUAUUGGGAAGAACACAGGUGGCGAAGGCGGCGCCCUGGUCCGGUACUGACGCUGAGGCGCGAAAGCGUGGGGAGCAAACAGG
rnacentral:rRNA from 1 species